CAUGCAAGUCGAACGGUAACAGGAAGCAGCUUGCUGCUUUGCUGACGAGUGGCGGACGGGUGAGUAAUGUCUGGGAAACUGCCUGAUGGAGGGGGAUAACUACUGGAAACGGUGGCUAAUACCGCAUAACGUCGCAAGACCAAAGAGGGGGACCUUCGGGCCUCUUGCCAUCAGAUGUGCCCAGAUGGGAUUAGCUUGUUGGUGAGGUAACGGCUCACCAAGGCGACGAUCCCUAGCUGGUCUGAGAGGAUGACCAGCCACACUGGAACUGAGACACGGUCCAGACUCCUACGGGAGGCAGCAGUGGGGAAUAUUGCACAAUGGGCGCAAGCCUGAUGCAGCCAUGCCGCGUGUAUGAAGAAGGCCUUCGGGUUGUAAAGUACUUUCAGCGGGGAGGAAGGUGUUGUGGUUAAUAACCGCAGCAAUUGACGUUACCCGCAGAAGAAGCACCGGCUAACUCCGUGCCAGCAGCCGCGGUAAUACGGAGGGUGCAAGCGUUAAUCGGAAUUACUGGGCGUAAAGCGCACGCAGGCGGUCUGUCAAGUCGGAUGUGAAAUCCCCGGGCUCAACCUGGGAACUGCAUUCGAAACUGGCAGGCUUGAGUCUUGUAGAGGGGGGUAGAAUUCCAGGUGUAGCGGUGAAAUGCGUAGAGAUCUGGAGGAAUACCGGUGGCGAAGGCGGCCCCCUGGACAAAGACUGACGCUCAGGUGCGAAAGCGUGGGGAGCAAACAGGAUUAGAUACCCUGGUAGUCCACGCCGUAAACGAUGUCUACUUGGAGGUUGUGCCCUUGAGGCGUGGCUUCCGGAGCUAACGCGUUAAGUAGACCGCCUGGGGAGUACGGCCGCAAGGUUAAAACUCAAAUGAAUUGACGGGGGCCCGCACAAGCGGUGGAGCAUGUGGUUUAAUUCGAUGCAACGCGAAGAACCUUACCUGGUCUUGACAUCCACAGAACUUUCCAGAGAUGGAUUGGUGCCUUCGGGAACUGUGAGACAGGUGCUGCAUGGCUGUCGUCAGCUCGUGUUGUGAAAUGUUGGGUUAAGUCCCGCAACGAGCGCAACCCUUAUCCUUUGUUGCCAGCGGUCCGGCCGGGAACUCAAAGGAGACUGCCAGUGAUAAACUGGAGGAAGGUGGGGAUGACGUCAAGUCAUCAUGGCCCUUACGACCAGGGCUACACACGUGCUACAAUGGCGCAUACAAAGAGAAGCGACCUCGCGAGAGCAAGCGGACCUCAUAAAGUGCGUCGUAGUCCGGAUUGGAGUCUGCAACUCGACUCCAUGAAGUCGGAAUCGCUAGUAAUCGUGGAUCAGAAUGCCACGGUGAAUACGUUCCCGGGCCUUGUACACACCGCCCGUCACACCAUGGGAGUGGGUUGCAAAAGAAGUAGGUAGCUUAACCUUCGGGGGGGCGCUUACCAC
rnacentral:rRNA from 1 species